ensembl:ncRNA lncRNA:CR45043 long non-coding RNA:CR45043
AUUUUAAAACUUGAAAACGCUUUAAGAGGCAAAUUCGUCAACCAAAAACCAACGUCGACUUUGUUUCUCCACAAGGACAUCUUUCCUUUUUGGCCAGCAAAAAAAGGACAAAACAAAAGCCAGAAGUAACCGAAGAGAAAAACCAGGAACACAAUAACAAACACAAAAUGGCAUAAUAGGCUUUGUGGGCGUGACUACGAAGGAGGCGAUGGGGAGAAGCGCAAUCAAGCGUUUCUAGAUAGUUUUGCUGGGAAACAAAAAAAAAAGUACAACAAAUUUUCUACUACAAUGCCUACAAAAUACUACCAACAAAGAGAAAAAAACUUUACACCCGCCGCCCCGAGAAAAAAAAACGUAAAAAAUCAUAAAAAUUCCAACGAAUACGAGUGGAUAAAACGCAAUGCUCAUAAAAAUGGUUACGCACAUUGGGCAAAGGCGGCAUGUGUGCGAGCCCCAAGGAUCUCCGGAAAAAAGGACCCACACCUGAAUCAUUCCCCACUUCGGCCGGAAAGGCACCUUCUGUUGCUGUAUGCAAAAAUUGAAAAAAUACAAAUUUCCCAUUACAGUUUUCCAUUGCUUUCCUCUUUCUCUCGAUAUAGUAUUUUUUGGGCAAAGCCUGCAAUUGGCAGUAAAGUUAAAUGAGAAUUGUAGCCUUGCGAGAAAAUUGUAUACAAACCGAAAUAAAUAUAAAUUAUAAAUGCCGUAUAUAAAGCUACAGAGACGAAAAUUGUACAUAUGCAUUUAAUUAACGUUCAUUAAAUAUUUACAAAU